rnacentral:rRNA from 1 species
UACAGAGGUCUCAAGCGUUGUUCGGAUUCAUUGGGCGUAAAGGGUGCGUAGGCGGCGCGGUAAGUCGGGUGUGAAAUCUCGGGGCUUAACUCCGAAACUGCAUUCGAUACUGCCGUGCUUGAGGACUGGAGAGGAGACUGGAAUUUACGGUGUAGCGGUGAAAUGCGUAGAUAUCGUAAGGAAGACCAGUGGCGAAGGCGGGUCUCUGGACAGUUCCUGACGCUGAGGCACGGAAGGCCCAGGGGGAGCAAACGGG